AUUGAACGCUGGCGGCAUGCUUUACACAUGCAAGUCGAACGGCAGCACGGGUGCUUGCACCUGGUGGCGAGUGGCGAACGGGUGAGUAAUGCAUCGGAACGUGCCCAUGAGUGGGGGAUAGCCCGGCGAAAGCCGGAUUAAUACCGCAUACGCCCUUAGGGGGAAAGCGGGGGAUCUUCGGACCUCGCGCUAUUGGAGCGGCCGAUGUCGGAUUAGCUAGUAGGUGAGGUAAAGGCUCACCUAGGCGACGAUCCGUAGCUGGUCUGAGAGGAUGAUCAGCCACACUGGGACUGAGACACGGCCCAGACUCCUACGGGAGGCAGCAGUGGGGAAUUUUGGACAAUGGGCGCAAGCCUGAUCCAGCCAUGCCGCGUGAGUGAAGAAGGCCUCGGUGUAAGACUCUUCUAGUGGAAGAAAGUAAGACGACGU
rnacentral:rRNA from 1 species